UCCGUCCUUGUCAUGGGGUGAGGGAGCUGCUCAGUGAACGCAUAGUGAGAGCAGCCCUGCUGACACCAUAACAACACCUGCGCAUCACCUGGACUCUGUCCGGGACACGGUGCAAUUUUUGGAAAC